AGGACGAACGCUGGCGGCGUGCUUAACACAUGCAAGUCGAGCGGUAAGGCCUUUCGGGGUACACGAGCGGCGAACGGGUGAGUAACACGUGGGUGAUCUGCCCUGCACUUCGGGAUAAGCCUGGGAAACUGGGUCUAAUACCGGAUAUGACCUCCUAUCGCAUGGUGGGUGGUGGAAAGAUUUAUCGGUGCAGGAUGGGCCCGCGGCCUAUCAGCUUGUUGGUGGGUAAUGGCCUACCAAGGCGACGACGGGUAGCCGACCUGAGAGGGUGACCGGCCACACGUGGGACUGAGACACGGCCCAGACUCCUACGGGAGCAGCAGGUGGGAAUAGUGCACAAGUGGGACGAAAGCUGAUGCAGCGACGCCGCGGUGAGGAUCGGACGGCCGUUCGGGUUACGUUAAACCUCUUUCAGCAGGGACGACGG
rnacentral:rRNA from 1 species